AAAGCAUCAGGACAGAUCUUCACCAUCACUGACUUCACAGCUGAACACAGUGGGAAUUAUUACUGUGAAGCCCAGAACAAACUAGGACAUCAAAAUGCUACCAUUUGUCUGACCCUUGCAGCAGGAAGAGGAAAACUCCGGACUCCACCAAUGCACCAAAUGACCCUGCACACAGUAUGAAGUUAGACUCCGGUCCUGAGUACCAGCAAGUCAACUCAACCUUGAAGUCCAGCACUGCAGCGAAGACUGAAGACACAGAGGAGCAGGAAGAACUCAUGUGAAGCAUCACAAUUCACAUCAUGCACAGUGUGUGUUUUCAGCAGUGUUAAUUUCGUUGAUGAAAACUAUGACAAAGAGUUUCCAUCAACAACCUUUUUCCAUGACAAAAACAAGAGCAUGAUGAGCUAAAAAUAGAUUUUGAUCAUAAAAACUCAAAAUCUAUGUUUCAUUUUCGUUGAUGAGAGGAAACGUGACGACAACGUUCAUGGUUGACUGUCGGACAUUGAAACCCGAGAACGGCCGUGCUUGUAAUUAUCUUUAAAUACCACAUGAGCGACUGGCUGACAAACUCCAGUAAAUAGUCAGCGCAAAAAUUUGUCUAGAUUAAAUUUUUAUACAACCUGUCACAUUGACUCUUAUUUCUAAUACAUAAAUCAGCCUCACUGGAUUAGUUUAAAGAUAAAAAAAAAAACAUAAAGAAGACAUAAUUACUAAAAGUUGAAAAUGUCGUGAUUUUUUGCCGACUAAAACCGUUUUGAGUUUUCGUCGACUAAAGCUUGACUAAAAUUACGAAGGAUAAAAAUGACUAAAAUGUGACUAAAGCCAAUGAGCAUUUUCACUUGGUUUAAGUCACUGGUUUUCAAUUAUUUAAAUCAAACAGAAUCUCAGUAGUAUCACACCCCGAUGGCACAUUUCUUUAAGUGUUGCAGCAACUGACUGAAACAAAUUAGCCUGGUAAGACUGUCCUGAUGACGUCAGCUCAACAGACUCUAGCCCCUUUUACACUGCCAGAUUUUCCGCCAAUGUUGGGCCAUUAUGCCAGCAAGCUGCGAGCGUUUAGACACACAGAGCUGGAUUGGCGAAUUGAUCCGAGGUGCCCAAUUUUCAGCCUUGUAGGGUAGACAUUGGCGGAACCCCUUCAGUUUAAAAAGAACGAGGCGGCCUUCCGCAACGGGAGGGGCUGUUGAUGACUUGUGGGAGGAGCUGUUGUUGAUGCCGCACGUGCAACCCACUGGCGGUGGAUAAACAGGAAACAGCUGAUAGCAGGAAUUAGCGAGCAGCUAGUAGCAAGAGGGAAACACAAACCUGACAGACACUGUAAAGAUGAGCAACUGGAGAGACAAGGAAUUGUGCGCCCUCCUUGUCCUCGCAAACGAAGAGGCCAUUAACCGUCAGAUGACGGGGACAAUGCAGAACGGCCCUGAUUGGGUUUUAAUUUCUGGAGAGUGUUUGGAGCGGCAGUGAGUCCAGACUGAUACAGAGAGCAAAAGAGAAUGUUGAGCUCACGUCAUCAGGAUGGUCAUAACAGGCUAGAAACAAACAGCCAGCUUCAAAAAUUGUUUGUUUAAAUGUCAUGUCAGUUCCCUCUCACUGCUGCAGAGGGCGGCAGUGUGCAUAAAGUUUUGUAUUUCAGCUUCAUACAAAUUGUUCUGUUUUUUAGCCUCCACUGUGUUAAAGAAAUGUGAUGUACAUUUAGUUUUUCUUCCUUAUCUGUUAUAUAUUUUGUACAACAAUAAAUCUUUUGUGAACCAAUUGAAAAGUUUGACUAUUGUUAA